UUCAUCCUUAUCGACUCUUAACUGCUACUCAGCCACGACUUCGAAUUCUUGGGGAGAAAGUAUUUUCCCUCAACCACAAUUUCAGUAUUUUUCUUGUCAGCCACACAUUUAAAAUUCCUGCUCAACCACGAAUUUUAUUUGACAUUCUUGGGCAGCAAGCAUAACAUCUUCUAUUUAUAGCUCAAUUCAUCAUCCCCAAUUCGCUUUUUCCUCAUCUGUUUCUCUUACACCAUAUAAUCCAUUUCCAUCUCUCACUACAGAAUCCAAGCUGGUGCGGCGCGACUAGAACGUGGAUUUUAAAUUAUCGCAGUUACGUUUCAAAGUUCAAGUUUCAGGUAAUUAAAGUUGGAGACGCGUAGAGGAUCGAAUGGGCGCGUCAAGUAAACUUUUUGAAAAGGGUGUUAUGUAGUAGUUGCACUUAAUAUAUUAUCAAAUGUUUUGCUUGUAUAGCUUUUGAGUCUCAAACUACUUUUGAGAUUGAUUUAACUUAUCAAGUUUAAUAUUGUUAUAUUUUCUCUCGUGACUUGUCGUAAUUUUAAAUUCAAGUUUUAUAUCAAA